AGCCUGUAACAGUCCCGUUUGCAGGCAGGAGAUGAUUUUGGUGGAUUUGAAAUGAGGGGGAUUUGAGAGUGGAUUUGAAAUUGAGGGAGGAUUUAUAAUAGGGGGGGCCCCACCUUUUAAGAAGGGGGGAUUUUAUAGUUUAAGUGUUUGGAUGUGUUUUUGAAGAAGGAGAUUUGAGUUGGAUAUGAUGGAAUAAGAUUAAAAAGACAAAAUUACCCCCACUUCCAUUAAUUAGUUGUUAAUAUUAAAUUAAUUUUGUUUUAAUUAGACAAAAUAUAUAUUAUUAAUUGAGAUGAUUAAAAUAAAAAAAUCACUUUAAAUAUUAAUAUAAUAAUUUAAAAUAUAUAAUUUUAUUUAUUUGUUUAAAUUAUCCAAAAUUAAUAUUUAGUAUAUAUUUUCAAACUUUGAGCCUAAAAUAUUAAGUAAUCAAUUUUGAAAUCUUACUUUAAAUUUUUAAUAUUAAUUAUGUAUGAAUUUUUUAAUAUUAAUUAUAAUCGUUUUUUAAUUUUAACUUUGUCUUAAUGGUAAUUAAAAAUAUAUAAAAAGAAUUUAAAUAUAAAAAGUAUUUGAAGAAAAAGUCUAAACACACCAAAAUAAGCAAACACAUACCCAAAAGGUCCUUGUAAUUUAGAAAAUGUUUCACUUUGAUUCUCAUAGUUUAAUUUAAAUAUUACGAUCGUGUUUAUUUCAAUUUGAUUCAUCCAAUUUUAAUUUUCAUUAAUUAAUUUUAAUUUCAUUUAACACGUUGAUUACUACACCAAAAAAGUAAAAUUGGCUCUAUGCUGACAUAGACACCCAAAUUCACCCCAAUUCAUAAAUUUUAUUCACCAAAUUGGAUCCCAAUUUAUGUGAAACCCGAAUAUAUACAUAAAUAAAAAUUAACAUUAGUAAAAAUUAAUUUAAAUAUUUUAUUUUUUUGGUUAAAUUGAAGGUAGCUAUUUUCAAGUUUCAAACUUCAUGGGAGAUAAUUAUAUUUUUUUAAAACAUUAAGGUUUCCUUGUGUAUUAAAUUUAUAACCUCAGGGAGGUUAGUGUAAUUUACCCAAAUAAAAUCGAUCCUCUGGUUCUUCUUCCCCAAUUUUUUUGGUUAGCCUGGGGAGAGAGAGACCCAACCCGAGGGUCUUUCACCACCAACAAUCGAAUCCUUCCCUGGUUCUUCUUCCCAGCACGAGGGCACAACGUCUUUCCACCACCACCGGCGCGCCCGUGACCACGGACGGGGUACCCCUGUCCGUCGUAUGUUCCGGCUAUGGAUGGAUUUGAAGCCGUGGAAGAAAGAAAUCAGGGAGAGAAAGGUUGAACCAACAUGGAGAGACAAGACAUGGAGAACAAAUCUGGAGACUUCCAAAUCAGGGAACAAAUCCGGUGCCAAACAGGGUGUAAAACGUCUCUCUCUUCUCCACAACCACCGCCCACUCUCCCUCACUCGCGCGCGAAGUCCCCAUUCGGGCCGCCCUCGCGAACCUACUCGUCGAAGACGAGCAUCAUGCGGUGAGCAGAGGGAGACGAUCCAUGUUACUGUGCCUGUGACUUCAACCACUGGCUCAUCGUCAUGGAAUUCCCAAAGACCCCGCACUUGUGGGACCAGAUUGAUACAACUCCAACCUGUUGUUCCCUCACGUGAGGCACCUAGUAGCGCUGUGUGAAAAGGAGUCCGAUCAGUCCUAUUCUUUGCAAUUACCUAGCCUGUUGCUAGUUGUUCCUAGUCUUAGCCAUUAUCUAGUUUACUGUUAUUUCCUUGAUUUCCUCUAUUUCAGUUGUUGGCACGUUGUUCUUCUGUUGCUGUAUUGGCUAUAAUGCAGUCACAUGAAACCCAAUAAGGACCUCGAAUUAAUUCAGAUCUCCUCUCUAAUCUCCUCUCUUCUAUUUUUCUCUGUCUGUCUCAUUCUUUCUUCCUUCUUCUCCCAACUUCAACCUACAUUUGGUAUCAGGCCAGGUUGUUUUGCCAUGGAUACCCGUGGGAAGCGACUCUGAAUUCCGCAAUGAAGUGAAUGAGCAAUUAACACGUCAUGAGUCGAACUUCGAUCAAGUGCAUCGACUCUGCGACAGUCCUUGACAGAAUAUACAACCCUGGCUUCCACCAGAAGUUCCACCAUACAGAAGUUAAUUCCCUUGCUCCGGAGGGAUCCUCUCACCAUCCACACGCCAAUCGUCUGCUGCUACCUACAACCGUUCACUCAAGCUUACGGUUUUCCGAAUUCAAUAGAGGGGAAGAUCCAUGGGGUGGAUCUACAAGGCCGAGCAGUACUUUUGAAUACGCAAGGCAUUGAACUAAUCCACGGGUGCAACUCGCCUCUUUUCACUUUGGAGGACCUUGCAUUACGUGGCAUCGUUGUAUAAACACUUUCGGGGCCUCUUACCCUGGGAAAAUUCACUCAAGGCUGUCCUUUGCUUCGCUUUGUCCUACUGAAUUUGAAAGACCCCUCAGAAGCUUUGUCUCAUUUGAAGCAAACUCAACAAUGCUGCUUAUCAAGAGGCCUUUGAAAGGCCUCCCCAUCGGUAGAUAAAUUACCAGAAACUUUUCUAUCGGGAUGUUUUAUUGCAGGCCUAAAGGAUGACAUUCGCUGGAUGUCAGACAAACAACCCCGAACCUUGGCAGACCCAUUGAGGUUGCCCGAUUGGUGGGGAAGAGCGAAACCAGCUCCACGGCGGCCUACCCCUCAUCAAUAGAAUGCAAUCAGGGCCCCCUGCGAGAGUAAACCCCAACCCAUCCACGGGAAUUCUGGGCCAACACCCAGCCAACGCGCAGGAAUGGGAUCCACGUACGCCCUCGCCUUUCCGCCGAAUCACCAAUCAGGAGGCGCGGGAUGCCGAGAGAAAGGCCUAUGCUAAUUACUGUGAUGAAAAAUACUCCCUGGGGCCCCUCGUUGUGAAACGUCCCCCAAUUAUUCAUGAUUGAAAGAUGCACCACACUUGAGGAAGAGAAGGAAGAAAAUGGCGAGGAGACACUCAAGAAGCAAAAACUUAUGAACUAUACCCGAAAUCUCUUUUCAUGCUAUUGCUGGUGCCGAACAUCCCCAAACCUCCGAUUGUGGGAAGUUGAAGAACAAAAGCCCUUUUUUAAAUGGUGCUGAUUGACGGGGGCAGUACCACAAUUUCAUCGAUCAACAACUGCCUUCUCGUUUGGCGCUAUCGAUUUGUCCGGGAUAAGAAGCUACAAGUGGUGUUGCAAAUACGGAAAGGAUUGAAUCACUGGCCAAUGUCAAGACUCACGCUCUUAUCCAAGGUACAACUAUCACUGCUGACUAUUACGUUCUUCCAACGUGGCAGCUUGUUAAGCAUUUUGGGCGUACAUGGCUGGAGACACUCGGCCAUCGGAUGGAUUACAGCGCUCACUAUUUCCUUCCGUGUAAGGGAAAAACUCAUACCCUCCACGGACUUGGACGCACUGCGGAGGGUGCCGCAUCGGGGGGAAGUUCUGAAUGCAAAAUGUGUGGGUUUGGGCAGGGAACGUGGUUCCUUCUUUCAGAUGUUCCCGCCCCAAACCCAGUCAUCCGUUCAACCGUACCCACAGGAGAUCAAGACCUUCUGGAGGAAUUCUCUAAGUCUUUGAAUCCCACAAGCAUUCCUCCCAAACGAUUCCAUGACCCCCGAAUUCUGCUCCAAUCAGAUGCUAACCUUGACGUGCGGCCCUACCAAUAUUCCUACUACCAAAAUCAGAACUUGAGAAUAUGGUCCAAGGAGCUCCUGCUGACAGGACUUAUCGAAGUAACAGCCCUUUUUCUUCUCCGGUUUAUUAGUAAAGGCUGAUGGACUUGGCGAAUUUUGUGGUUGACUAUCGGCUCUCAACAAGAUUCACGGUGAAAGAAUCAGUAAUCCCAUCCCGUAAUUGAUGAAUUACUUGACGACUUCAUGGUGCCAGUUUUAUUCGAAGUUAGACUGCGAUCUGGUACCACCAAAUCCGAGUGGCAUGAAGAAGAUAUUCAGAAGACGUCAUUUCGAACUCAUGAGGGCAUUACGAGUUUGUAGUCAUGCCGUUCGGACCUCACCAAUGCUCAGGCAACCUUUCAUGCCUCAUGAAUGACCUCUUUUUUUUUUUCCCCCGACCAUCCUUCUGAGUUUUAUCCUGGUAUUCUUUUGACGACUAUUGGUUUAUGCAAAAUCUUGGAAGAUCACCUCUCUCAUUUACAGACUGUCUUCACUAUUUUACAAUCUAACCAAGUUGGUUUGCCAAGGAAUCAAAAAGCAUUUUUGGGAGUCCACGGUCAAAUAUUUAGGGCAUAUUAUCGCUGAAGGGGCAGUGUCAGUAGAUUUCCUGACAAUGUGCAAGCAGUGGUGGUUGGCCAACUCCCCCACGGCCAAGAGUGCGAGGCUUCCUUGGUCCUUGCGGCUACUAUAGAAAAUUUAUCCGUCAUUCUUCGGCAGUCAAUAGCAGCCCCACUACCCAAGCUCUUGACCAAGAAAAUUCCGAUGGAGUAGUGAAGGUCAGAGGCGGCAUUCCACCAACUGAAGUCAUGCCCUCCCACACCACCUACCCGCGCCUCCCCAGAACUUCUCUCACCAGUUUGUGAUUGAAUGUGAUGCAAUGGAGUGGGACUCGGAGCUUUUCUCACACAACAAAAUCAGCCCAUUGCUUACUUCAUAAAGCUCUCAAGGAUUUGCAUUGGCGUUGUCUGACAUAUGAGAAAGAGAUGCUCGCAAUCAUCGAGGCCAUCAAAAUGCGACCCUAUUGCUCGGUAGAGGUUCAUAGUGAGAAACAGACCACCAAAUCCCUAAAUACUACUGGACAGCGCAUCACCACUUCCUGCCCGUCCCGUGGAUACCCCAAGCUGUGGGAUACGACUAGCCAUUAAAUAUAAACAGGCCCUGAUAACCAGGCUGCCGAUUCUUAUCUCGAAUGGGGUGAGCUUCCAUUUCAUAUCCACUCCAUUCCACAUGCGGACUGUUGGCCAAAACACUCCAACAAGAAGUCCGCGACGAACCCUUUUAAGCGAGCCUAGCCAGCAAACGGGAUACCAUAAAUUGAUCUGGCGAGAUGGUGUCUGGUUCCAACUGCAAGGU
rnacentral:lncRNA from 1 species